rnacentral:rRNA from 1 species
AGCAGCCGCGGUAAUUCCAGCUCCAAUAGCGUAUAUUAAAGUUGUUGCAGUUAAAAAGCUCGUAGUUGAAUUUCGGGAUCAAUAUAUUGGUCGUGCCUUCGGUACGUACUGGUAUCGUUGAUUUCUACCUUCUGACGAACCAUGAUGUCAUUUAUUUGGUGUCAUGGGAAAUCAGGACUGUUACUUUGAAAAAAUUAGAGUGUUUAAAGCAGGCACACGCUUGAAUACAUUAGCAUGGAAUAAUGAAAUAGGACGUUUGACCCUAUUUUGUUGGUUUCUAGGAUCGACGUAAUGAUUAAUAGGGAUAGUUGGGGGCAUUAGUAUUCAAUUGUCAGAGGUGAAAUUCUUGGAUUUAUUGAAGACUAACUACUGCGAAAGCAUUUGCCAAGGAUGUUUUCAUUAAUCAAGAACGAAAGUUAGGGGAUCGAAGACGAUCAGAUACCGUCGUAGUCUUAACCAUAAACUAUGCCGACUAGGGAUCGGAUGAUGUUAAUUUUUAAUGACUCAUUCGGCGCCUUAC